rnacentral:lncRNA from 1 species
AUUAAUGACCUGUAUUCCUUUUUGAGCCGUCCCAAGUAACAUGGCAUGUUUCCCUUUUGGGCCAUAAUUAAGGCUUAAUUAAAAUUCUUAAUCAAUUCAUUUUUACACUCUCUCUUCCCUACCCAUUCAUUUUACUCUCUCUCUUCCCCACCCACCGUCUAUCUCUCUCUUUUCCACACCCAUCGGCUCUCUCUUUCUCCUCAUCUCUCCCACCUUUCCCUCUCGCGGCCAUCCGCCGGCGCCAUUCGCCGUCGCUUCCACCUUCCUCCGCCGUCGCAUCUAAAGAUUUCUCCAGAUCCGUUCACCGCCCGUCCAUAUCCAUGCGCCGCCUCCACCACCUUCAACCCUUCACGCUGCCUUUGCCUCUGCCUCUGCCUCUGCCUCCCCCCACCCCACCGCUCCUUCCAGCACCGUGUCCAGUUUCUCAAUCCCGCACAAAUCCGUCCGCUAUUAAUCCCAUUCGAGUCAACCCCUAGCAGCGGCGCGAUGCUAGAUCUGUCCGCCUUUCACCGUAUUCAAGGGAAAGAAGAAAUGUUGUUGAUAUAUUUGUAGCAGAAAUGUUAAAGUUUAGUUGAGAAGUCAAUUUAUAGAAUUGAUUAUCCAAAGUUGCAGGUUUUCUCUAGUUAGGCGCAAACUGCAAUGGGAUACCUUUGUUGAUUGGUAGGAAUUUCUUGUGUUUUUUUGGCUUUUUUUGUAGAAUGAGGAGGUUAAAAGUUAUGUUCAGACCUCUGUUUUUUUUGUUUUUUUCUUACUUUGGAGAUUUUGAGAUUGGAUUUUUGAAAUUUUGUGGAUUUGAGGACUUUGAAAUUUGGUUUUCGAAAUUUGGUUUUUUGGGAAAGUUGCCGGCGCCGGAUUUGGUGAAGUCGCCGGCGUCGGAGACGGUGGAUUUUCGGCGAUGUUGAACUGUCCGUUAAAUUUAGCGCGAGGAGAUGAAGAUAGUUACUUAAUUAACAAAACACUAAACAUCUAAUUCCCUUAAUUCUACUCUUCUUAAUCUCCGUGCCGAAAAGUAGCGUGCCAUAAAUAAUGGGACGGAGGGAGUAUAUUUUUAUUUUUUU